GUGGAGAUUGGGGGGGGGCUGGGAGGGAGAGAAGGAUAGCAAGAUCGUAUUAAAUUCCUUCCUUAAUCUCUAAACCAAAUGUUCUUCAUAUUUUGGUUUUGGAAUCGAACUGGAUUAAAUACCAUUGUUUUGAUAAAACCAUUUCACGUUGAUUUGGUGCAUGCCCACCUUAUUAGGAAAAAUUGCUUUUUUGUUUUAAAGAAAAAGACUUUGGCCACUUUAUGUGA